rnacentral:rRNA from 1 species
GACGAACGCUGGAGGCGUGCUUAACAAAUGCAAGUAGAACGAUGAAAUGGAGCUUGCUCAUGGAUUAUUGGCGAACGGGUGAGUAACACGUGAAUAACCUGCCCUUAAUCUUGGAAUAACCCAGGGAAACCUGGGCCAAUACCGGAUAAGUAAUCCUGUGGCAUCACAUGGUUUUGGAAAGUUUUUCGAUUAAGGAUGGAUUCGCGGCCUAUCAGCUUGUUGGUGAGGUAAUGGUUCACCAAGCCGACGACGGCUAGCCGGCCUGUGAGGGUGAACGGCCACACUGGGACUGAGGCACGGCCCAGACUCCUACGGGAGGCAGCAGGGGGGAAUAUUGCGCACUGGAAGAAAGUCUGACGCAUCGACGCCCCGUGAGAGACGAAGGUCUUCGGAUUGUAAACCUCUUUCAGCAGGGACUAAGCGAAAGUUACGGUACCUGCAGAAGCAGCACCGGCUAACUAUGUGCCAGCCGCCGCAGUAA